AAGAGUUUAUUACAACUCCAAACCCCAUGUGAACAUACCUAGCGUUGCCUCGGCAGGUCGCGUCCUACCCUGUAGCGCCCUACCCUAUAGGGCCUGCCUGGGCGGGCGCGGGUCAACCUGUCGGCGGCCUAUGAAACUCUGUUUUAGCAUUGAAAUUCUGAAUUUAUAACUAAAUCAGUUA
rnacentral:misc_RNA from 1 species